CGCUCAAGGAGAUAGAGGCUCAGAUUAUCUUUAGUGGGAUUCUGCCUGUUCCUAGGGAAGGGCAGCAAAGGGCUGAUAGGAUUGUGAGAAUAAAUAGUUGGCUAAGGGAGUGGUGCUAUAAGGAGGGCUUUGGGAUGUAUGGCCACUGGGAGGCUUUUGGGGACAGACAGCUGUUCUCGCGGGAUGGACUUCACCUGAGUAGGGAAGGAAAUAGACUUCUGGGAGGGAGGCUGGCUCAUCUUAUCAAAAGAGCUUUAAACUAGGAAGUUUGGGGAGACGGUUGGGAGAUGUACAGUUAAUCUCCACGCCAGAUUCCAACAUUGAAAUGGUGAGUGAGAUAAGAGGAGAUAUAGCCAGGGAGAUGAGAUUGGACAUAAGAAGGAUAGGGGGGAAGGACACAAAGAUGCCUGUAACAUAUAGUGUUACUAAUGGGAGACAGGAUAAACAACAUACAUUAGGGUGCUUAUACACCAAUGCGAGAAGCCUAGGUAAUAAAAUGGAGGAAUUGGAGCUCUUGGUCCGAGAAUUGCAACCGGAUAUCGUAGGAAUAACUGAAACGUGGUGGAACGGCAGUCACGACUGGAAUACAGGUAUGGAGGGGUAUGCGCUGUUUAGGAAAGACCGGAACAAAGGUAAGGGUGGCGGGGUGGCAUUGUAUGCCAAUAGUGAGAUAAGCUGUAAAGAAAUAAUAGUUGAUGGAAUAGAUAACACGGAAUCCAUCUGGGCAAUACUCACACUGGGUAAAAGGACUACUAGAGCCUCCCCGGGGAUAGUGCUUGGGGUGUGCUAUAGACUGCCGGGAUCGACCCAGGAUAUGGAUAAAGAACUAUUUAAUGUGUUUAGAAAAGUAAAUACUAAUAGGAACUGUGUAAUUAUGGGGGACUUUAACUUCCCGGAUAUAGAUUGGGGAACAAACGCUAGUAGCAAUAAUAGGGCUCAGAUGUUCCUAGAUGUGCUUGCUGAUCAUUUCCUUCAUCAAGUGGUAGCCGAACCGACGAGAGGGGAGGCCAUCUUAGAUUUGAUUUUGGUGACUAGUGAGGACCUCGUUGAGGAAGUGGUAGUAGGGGACAACUUGGGCUCCAGCGAUCAUGAGCUAAUCCACUUUAAACUAAAUGGGAGGAGUAACAGAAUUAAAUCAAAGACUAGGGUUUAUAAUUUUAAAAAGGCCAAUUUUAACAAACUAAGGGGACUGGUA
rnacentral:lncRNA from 1 species